rnacentral:rRNA from 1 species
CCCUUAGACGUUCUGGGCCGCACGCGCGCUACACUGACCAGUGCAACAAGCAUCCGUCCUUGGCCGACAGGCCCGGGCAAUCUUUGAACGCUGGUCGUGAUGGGGAUAGACUUUUGCAAUUUUUGGUCUUCAACGAGGAAUUCCUAGUAAGCGCGAGUCAUCAGCUCGUGCUGAUUACGUCCCUGCCCUUUGUACACACCGCCCGUCGCUCCUACCGAUUGAGUGGUCCGGUGAAUAAUUCGGACUGCAGCACUGCUUGGUCUCCAGGCUUUGCAGCGGAAAGUUUAGUGAACCUUAUCACUUAGAGGAAGGAGAAGUCGUAACA